GUUCUUGCUUCAGUAGCACACAUGCUAAAAUUAUAAUGAUACAGAGAUUAGCAUGGCCCCUGUGCAAGGAAGACAUGCAAAUUCAUAAAGUAUUCCAUAUUAAA
ensembl:snRNA U6 U6 spliceosomal RNA